AAAGGACGGGGAACGGGGUUAAUCCACGUGCUUGGAAAUUGUCUCAUAUCGAGAUUGCAAGUAUCUUGUAUGCUGGACUGACAUAACUUGCACCAUGGAUCAUAGGUGGGAUAUAUUACAAAACAAUGAUAGUUACAAGACUAAAUAGAUGCGUUUUAGUCAUGGGAGGCCAAGAAGUAUCAGUAUCUUGGCUAUACAGCUGCUGACAGCUUGGAACAUGUAAUUAGCACUUGCAAUAGUGACACUGUAAAGAUGCUGCAGAAUUUAAAUGCUGAUGUUGUCAUUGAUUAUAAGAAAGAUUCCAAUGCAGAAAUUUUUACAGAGAGACUGAGUUAUUUUGUAAGUUAAAAUGCAUUGUAUUAGAAUAAACACAGUAUAUAUACAUGUACAAUUGUCAUAGUUACAUACAGAUACGACAUGACCUUAGAUUACACGAAUCAGGGAUCAGAAUAAUUCACAAUGAAGGAAUACUCAAUACACAACACUUACAUAGCAUUAAACUUGACUCUGUUAAAAAAUGUCGACCAUUACGAGCUAAUUAUGGGACUGGUGAAGAUCCUUGACCUAAAGGUCUGAAGUUUAAUACAGAAAAUAAAAGCAUUGUGCAAUUUUUUUAUGCCUUCUCAACUGUAUUAAUGUUUUCCAGAAGCUCGUGAAAAAUGAAGAGUAUGUGCUUAUUGUUCAAACAUGCUUUCCAAGAUUUGCCACAGGCAAUAUGAGAGAUUAAAGUAAGGUCAUUUAAGAAGCAAACCAACUAAUUGAUAUAAAAUAAUAAACCGAGUUAAAUAAUUUUUUAUAUACAAAUGAUUUAUUAACAAUAAAUACUUAUUUUGCAUA
rnacentral:lncRNA from 1 species